rnacentral:rRNA from 1 species
AGAUUGAACGCUGGCGGCAGGCCUAACACAUGCAAGUCGAGCGGUAGAGAGGUGCUUGCACCUCUUGAGAGCGGCGGACGGGUGAGUAAAGCCUAGGAAUCUGCCUGGUAGGUGGGGGAUAACGCUACGGAAACGGACGCUAAUACCGCAUACGUCCGUACGGGAGAAAGCGAGGGGACCUUCGGGCCUUGCGCUAUCAGAUGAGCCUAGGUCGGAUUAGCUAGUUGGUGAGGUAAGUGGCUACACCGAAGGCGACGA